rnacentral:rRNA from 1 species
GACGAACGCUGGCGGCGUGCUUAACACAUGCAAGUCGAACGAAGUGGCGAACGGGUGAGUAACGCGUAAUCAACCUGCCCUUCAGAGGGGGAUACCAGUUGGAAACGACUGCUAAAACCGCAUACUGAAGGAGGGGAUUGCGGCUGAUUAGCUAGUUGGGGGGGUAAUGGACAACCACGGCGAUGAUCAGUAGCCGGUCUGAGAGGAUGAACGGCCAAAUUGGGACUGAGAAACGGGCCAGACUCCUACGGGAGGCAGCAGUGGGGAAUCUUCCGCAAUGGACGAAAGUCUGACGGAGCAACGCCGCGGUAGUGAUGACGGCCUUCGGGUUGUAAAGCUCUGUUAAUCGGGACGCGGUACCGGAAUAGAAAGCCACGGCUAACUACGUGCCAGCAGCCGCGGUAAUUC